AUAGAUGAGCCUAGGUCGGAUUAGCUAGUUGGUGAGGUAAUGGCUCACCAAGGCGACGAUCCGUAACUGGUCUGAGAGGAUGAUCAGUCACACUGGAACUGAGACACGGUCCAGACUCCUACGGGAGGCAGCAGUGGGGAAUAUUGGACAAUGGGCGAAAGCCUGAUCCAGCCAUGCCGCGUGUGUGAAGAAGGUCUUCGGAUUGUAAAGCACUUUAAGUUGGGAGGAAGGGCAUUAACCUAAUACGUUAGUGUUUUGACGUUACCGACAGAAUAAGCACCGGCUAACUUCGUGCCAGCAGCCGCGGUAAUACGAAGGGUGCAAGCGUUAAUCGGAAUUACUGGGCGUAAAGCGCGCGUAGGUGGUUUGUUAAGUUGGAUGUGAAAGCCCCGGGCUCAACCUGGGAACUGCAUCCAAAACUGGCAAGCUAGAGUAUGGCAGAGGGUGGUGGAAUUUCCUGUGUAGCGGUGAAAUGCGUAGAUAUAGGAAGGAACACCAGUGGCGAAGGCGACCACCUGGGCUAAUAC
rnacentral:rRNA from 1 species